CGAUUUUUUUUUUAUUUUUUUUAUAAAUAUAAUUGAUACCACUCAAAUUAGUUGGCCUCUUCCAAUUAUAUUAUGCCUAAUAUUAUGAAAUGAAGAAAAUCCGAUCGACCUCCUUUUCUAUUAAACACGUCAAGGCCAAGCACAAAUUCGCACUUGAAUGGACCUAUAAGUAGGGUUGCUAACUGGUGGACAAUUGCCUCAACACGUACAAUAUAUCUAAUUAAUCUGCAUUCACCAGAAUGAAGACUAUCUCGCUCAUUUGCUGCAUGCUCCUGGCUUUCCUUCUUUUCUCGUCCCCUUCAAUUAUGGCUCGUGAAUUGACUGGUCAUGAUCCUGAGGCCGAGGGAGGUACUAGCAGAACCAAGAAUCCCAACAAGCCAGCAAUAUCAUGCGGAAGGCAUGGCAAUGCUCGAUGCAUAGGAAAACCAAAGACGCCCAUCAAGUGUGAUCCAAGCAGUUCCAAAUACACCCGCGGUUGCAAGCCACCUCAAGGACCUUGAAUCAGUAGUACUACUUAAUUAUUGUGGAGUGGAGAAAGUAUGAAUAAAUAGUACUAAAGUUACAAGUAGUACUCAUGUAAUGGUUUGAGAAUAAAUAAGAUUUGGUUUGACAUGACCAUGAUUAAUAUUGUAAUGGAGCUUGUUCGAUCGAGCUUCCUUUCCAGUAUGGAAAUAUAUAUGUAAAAUAUGCUGCAUCUUGAUAUGCUGUACAAGUGCCAAUAAAUUAAAAAAAGGAGCUGACCGACAUAGUUUUGGUCAUCUUGUUGUGAUUAUUAAA